rnacentral:rRNA from 1 species
GUGCCAGCCGCCGCGGUAAUACCGGCAGCCCAAGUGAUGGCCGAUCUUAUUGGGCCUAAAGCGUCCAUAGCUGGCUGCGCAAGUCUGUCGGGAAAUCCACUCGCUCAACGAGUGGCCGUCCGGUGGAAACUCCACACCUUGGGACCGGAAGGCUCGAAGGGUACGGCCGGGGUAGGAGUGAAAUCCUGUAAUCCCGUCCGGACCACCGAUGGCGAAAGCACUUCGAGAAAACGGAUCCGACAGUGAGGGACGAAAGCUAAGAUCGCGAACCGGAUUAGAUACCCUGGUAGUCC